rnacentral:rRNA from 1 species
UCAAGUUAUUAAGGGUGUAGGGCGGAUGCCUUGGCACUAGGAGCCGAUGAAAGACGUGAUAAGCUGCGAUAAGCUUCGGGGAGUGGCACAUACACUUUGAUCCGGAGAUUUCUGAAUGAGGAAACUCACUUGGAGUAAUGUCCAAGUAUCCAUAGGUGAAUACAUAGCCUAUGGAGGGGAACUCAGGGAACUGAAACAUCUAAGUACCUGAAGGAAGAGAAAGAAAUUCGAUUCCGCUAGUAGCGGCGAGCGAACGCGGAAGAGCCCAAACCAAGUCAGUUUACUGAUUUGGGGUUGCGGACAUAUCUUAAGGAAAGGUUAUUGCGAGUAGAAUAGGUCUGGAAAGACCAACCAUAGAGGGUAAUAGUCCCGUACACAAAGCCAAGAAAGUUCUUGAUAUGAUCCAGAGUACCACGAGACACGUGAAACCUUGUGGGAAGCAGGGGGGACCACCCCCCAAGGCUAAAUACUACCUAGUGACCGAUAGCGAAUAGUACCGUGAGGGAAAGGUGAAAAGAACCCCGGGAGGGGAGUGAAAUAGAACCUGAAACCCUACACUUACAAGCUGUGGGAGCGCAUUAUUCGCGUGACCGCGUACUUUUUGUAGAACGGGCCAACGAGUUACGUUAUGUGGCAAGGUUAAGCACUUAAGGUGUGGAGCCGAAGCGAAAGCGAGUCUUAACUGGGCGCCAUAGUCACAUGACGUAGACCCGAAACCGGGCGACCUACCCAUGAGCAGGAUGAAGCGAAAGUAAAAUUUCGUGGAGGUCCGAACCCACGUACGUUGAAAAGUGCGGGGAUGACUUGUGGGUAGCGGUGAAAUUCCAAUCGAGCUCGGAGAUAGCUGGUUCUCCCCGAAAUAGCUUUAGGGCUAGCCUUGAAAUUUAGAGAUGUGGAGGUAGAGCACUGAAUGUCCUAGGGGGUAUUGCACUUACCGAAGACUAUCAAACUCCGAAUGCCAUUAUCUUUUGUUCAGGAGUCAGACUAUGGGUGAUAAGGUUCAUAGUCGAAAGGGAAAGAGCCCAGACCGUCAGCUAAGGUCCCUAAAUGUAUGUUAAGUGGUAAAGGAUGUGGGAUUGCACAGACAACCAGGAUGUUGGCUUAGAAGCAGCCACUCAUUUAAAGAGUGCGUAAUAGCUCACUGGUCGAGUGAUCCUGCGCCGAAGAUUUCCGGGGCUAAAACAUACUACCGAAGCUACGGCAUCAUAUGAUGAUGGGUAGGGGAGCUUCCCAUGCAGGCUGAAGCGAUACCGUAAGGAGUCGUGGACAGUAUGGGAGAGAGAAUGUUGGCAUGAGUAGCGAGAUGAGGGUGAGAAUCCCUCAGGCCGUAAACCCAAGGUUUCCAGGGGAAGGUUCGUCCUCCCUGGGUUAGUCGGGACCUAAGCUCAGGCCGAAAGGCGUAGGCGAUGGACAACAGGUUGAGAUUCCUGUACUACCGAUAAUCGUUUGAGAGAAGGGAUGACACAGUAGGAUAAGCUGAGCACACUGUUGGUUAAGUGUGUCUAAGCGUUGAGGCAGACUAGAUAGGCAAAUCCGUUUAGUUAAUGCUGGGGCGCGAUGGGGAGCGAAACUAAGUAGCGAAGCAGCUGAUUUCACACUGUCGAGAAAAGUCUCUAUCGAGAUUAAAGGUACCCGUACCGCAAACCGACACAGGUGGGUGAGGAGAGUAUCCUAAGGCCAGCGAGAGAACUGUUGUUAAGGAACUCGGCAAAAUGACCCCGUAACUUAGGGAUAAGGGGUGCCCCAGCAAUGGGGCCGCAGAGAAUUGGCCCAAGCGACUGUUUACCAAAAACAUAGGUUUCUGCUAAGUCGCAAGACGAUGUAUAGGAGCUGACGCCUGCCCGGUGCUGGAAGGUUAAGGGGAUCUGUUAGAGCAAUCGAAGCAGUGAUCUUAAGCCCCAGUAAACGGCGGCCGUAACUAUAACGGUCCUAAGGUAGCGAAAUUCCUUGUCGGGUAAGUUCCGACCCGCACGAAAGGCGUAAUGAUUUGGGCACUGUCUCAACGAGAGACUCGGUGAAAUUUUAGUACCUGUGAAGAUGCAGGUUACCCGCGACAGGACGGAAAGACCCCAUGGAGCUUUACUG